rnacentral:rRNA from 1 species
GACGAACGCUGGCGGCGUGCCUAACACAUGCAAGUCGAGCGAAUGAAGUUCCUUCGGGAACAGAUUUAGCAGCGGACGGGUGAGUAACACGUGGGCAACCUGCUUCAUAGAGGGGAAUAGCCUUCCGAAAGGGAGAUUAAUACCGCAUAAGAUUGUAGUACCGCAUGGUACAGCAAUUAAAGGAGCAAUCCGCUAUGAGAUGGGCCCGCGGCGCAUUAGCUAGUUGGUGAGGUAAUGGCUCACCAAGGCGACGAUGCGUAGCCGACCUGAGAGGGUUAUCGGCCACAGUGGGACUGAGACACGGCCCAGACUCCUACGGGAGGCAGCAGUGGGGAAUAUUGCACAAUGGGGGAAACCCUGAUGCAGCAACGCCGCGUGAGUGAUGACGGCCUCCGGGUUGUAAAGCUCUGUCUUCAGGGACGAUAAUGACGGUACCUGAGGAGGAAGCCACGGCUAACUACGUGCCAGCCGCCGCAGUAAAAC